rnacentral:rRNA from 1 species
GGCGAACGGGUGAGUAAUGCAUCGGAACGUGCCCAAUCGUGGGGGAUAACGCAGCGAAAGCUGUGCUAAUACCGCAUACGAUCUACGGAUGAAAGCGGGGGACCUUCGGGCCUCGCGCGAAUGGAGCGGCCGAUGUUAGAUUAGGUAGUUGGUGGGGUAAAGGCUCACCAAGCCGACGAUCUAUAGCUGGUCUGAGAGGACGACCAGCCACACUGGAACUGAGACACGGUCCAGACUCCUACGGGAGGCAGCAGUGGGGAAUUUUGGACAAUGGGCGAAAGCCUGAUCCAGCAAUACCGCGUGCAGGAAGAAGGCCUUCGGGUUGUAAACUGCUUUUGUACGGAACGAAAAGGCUCUUUCUAAUAAAGAGGGCUCAUGACGGUACCGUAAGAAUAAGCACCGGCUAACUACGUGCCAGCAGCCGCGGUAAUACGUAGGGUGCGAGCGUUAAUCGGAAUUACUGGGCGUAAAGCGUGC